rnacentral:rRNA from 1 species
ACGCUGGCGGCAUGCCUAAUACAUGCAAAUCGAACGAAGCCUUUUAGGCUUAGUGGUGAACGGGUGAGUAACACGUAUCCAAUCUACCCUUAAGUUGGGGAUAACUAGUCGAAAGAUUAGCUAAUACCGAAUAAUAACAUCAAUAUCGCAUGAGAAGAUGUAGAAAGUCGCUCUUUGUGGCGACGCUUUUGGAUGAGGGUGCGACGUAUCAGAUAGUUGGUGAGGUAAUGGCUCACCAAGUCAAUGACGCGUAGCUGUACUGAGAGGUAGAACAGCCACAAUGGGACUGAGACACGGCCCAUACUCCUACGGGAGGCAGCAGUAGGGAAUUUUUCACAAUGGGCGCAAGCCUUAUGAAGCAAUGCCGCGUGAACGAUGAAGGUCUUAUAGAUUGUAAAGUUCUUUUAUAUGGGAAGAAACGCUAAAAUAGGAAAUGAUUUUAGUUUGACUGUACCAUUUGAAUAAGUAUUGGCUAACUAUGUGCCAGCAGCCGCGGUAAUACAUAGGAUGCAAGCGUUAUCCGGAUUUACUGGGCGUAAAACGAGCGCAGGCGGGUUUGUAAGUUUGGUAUUAAAUCUAGAUGCUUAACGUCUAGCUGUAUCAAAAACUGUAAACCUAGAGUGUAGUAGGGAGUUGGGGAACUCCAUGUGGAGCGGUAAAAUGCGUAGAUAUAUGGAAGAACACCGGUGGCGAAGGCGCCAACUUGGACUAUCACUGACGCUUAGGCUCGAAAGUGUG